rnacentral:rRNA from 1 species
CUUAAAUUGAAGAGUUUGAUCAUGGCUCAGAUUGAACGCUGGCGGCAGGCCUAACACAUGCAAGUCGAGCGGAAACGAAUG